rnacentral:rRNA from 1 species
GAUGAACGCUGGCGGCGUGCUUAACACAUGCAAGUCGAACGGAAAGGCCCAAGCUUGCUUGGGUACUCGAGUGGCGAACGGGUGAGUAACACGUGGGUGAUCUGCCCUGCACUUCGGGAUAAGCCUGGGAAACUGGGUCUAAUACCGGAUAGGACCACAUUUUGGAUGGUGUGGUGGAAAGUUUUUCGGUGUGGGAUGAGCUCGCGGCCUAUCAGCUUGUUGGUGGGGUAAUGGCCUACCAAGGCGUCGACGGGUAGCCGGCCUGAGAGGGUGUACGGCCACAUUGGGACUGAGAUACGGCCAAGGCUCCUACGGGGGGCAGCCGUGGGGAAUGUUGCACCAUGGGCGCCAGCCUGAUGAAGCGACGCCGCGUGGGGGAUGACGGCCUUCGGGUUGUAAACUCCUUUCGCUAGGGACGAAGCGUUAUGUGACGGUACCUGGAGAAGAAGCACCGGCUAACUACGUG